GCAACCAGGCAGCUCCAGUGCUGUUCUUAACAUGGACAGCAGGACAAUGGCUUAUGUGGAGGUUCCCUUUCAAAGAAACUGUCGUGAGAAUGUGAGCUGUGAAGCAGAUCUAGAGCUGGACUUUAAAUUCAUGAACAGCUCACUGCUUGUGGUGGAUCAGGCUUAUUUCAUCAUCACUGUGUCUCUGCUGAAUAAAGGAGAC